UAUCAUUGUUAUUUUAUUUUUUAUAGAGACAGGGUCUCUCUGUGUAGCCCAGGCUUGUCUUGAACUCCUGGGCUCAAGUAAUCCUCCUGCAUCACCUCCCAGAGUAUUGGGAUUACAGGCGUGAGUCACCAUGCCCAACCUGCUUCAGUUUUUGAUUCACCUCCAUAGUUAGGGGCAUUUAUUAAGAUUUAAACAACUUUUUUCUGUUUUACCUUUUAUGUAUUUUUAUAUUUUCCAUAGUUUGACUUCAAAUAUGUUCAUGUAGAAUGGGGACUUAAUAUUUUUAUUUAUGAGGGAUUUAUGCUCAUAUGUGGCUCUGCCUACUAUUGUUAUUUAGUUGGAUAUUUUAGGUAGAUGCCCUUACAUUGUGUUUUAUCUUUGAAAUAUAAGUAAAUGUAUACCAUUUGAAUCUUAGUCGUUAUUUUCUCCAAUAUAUAUACAUCAUUUAAGAAUUAUUUUUAAGGAAUCUAUUUUAAUAGUCUCACGUUCUAAAAACUUGUCUUCAAAUUGAGCCUUUCCAAAGUCAUUUUGGGGACAUUUAUCAUGCAGCACAACUUAUUGACAUUUAGCUUCCUUCUUGUGAAAGGAUUAUCUCUUAAGCAUUUUGGUAUGACAAUUAUAUGAAAGUUUAAUUCACUCCUAACAUGUCAGUUGCAUUAGACACUUAAGAAUGUUGUUGGUUGCAGGUGGCUCGAGUCUUUUAUUAUCUUUGUGUCAUUGCACUGCAGUAUGUGGCGCCUCUGGUAAUGCUGCUUCACACAACUCUGCUUUUGAAAACACUAGGUAAUCAUUCCUGGGGUAUUUAUCCAGAAUCUAUCUCUACCUUACCAGUGGAUAAUAGUCUACUGUCCAAUUCUGUUUACUCUGAAUUACCAUCAGCUGAAGGGAAAAUGAAGGUAACUGUUACACAAAUAACAGUGGC
rnacentral:sRNA from 1 species